GUUGCACUCACUGUUGCUACUGCUGUAACAUUUCGGGCUUUAACGUGAAUUUAAUUGAUAGCAAACACACACCCAUCAGCAAGUUUUGCUUUUGUUUUUGUUAGGCUUUUAUUGUAUUUGUUAUCUCGCAUGUUUGCUUUUAGUGUUAUUGAAAUGUUGGAAAAAACAACAUGUGACACCCAUACGUAAAUACACGGCAUAAUCAUAUGUAUGUGUGUUCAUUGCAGGAAAGUCUUUUGGCCGAGUUGUUUUUCUGUUCUGUUUCUCUCGACUUUCAGCGUGUUGUGUAUAAUUCACAUUAAUGUUUGCUUGUAAACUUGUGUAACGUUUUUUUUAUGUGUCUGUAUGUGUUUAUUAUGUACAUGUGCCAUUUACAUUUCAGCUGUAUAAAAUUACCAUAGGUUUAUAAGAAAAGAGCUAAUUUCGCUGGUAAACAUUUUUCACCGGAUAUGUGCAUGUCAAAGCGUUGCUCUGCGACUUUCUGCGCCGCUUCAUGGUAAUGUAAAUUUAGUCGAACUAUUAUUAGUACCAGCUAUUGACCUGUGUUGGUCUUUCAGCGUAGUUUGAGGCACAUGUAGGAAUAUCUAUCGACAUAAAUAACUAAUUGUUUUUACACUAAAUUCAUAGUUCGACAAAAGUAUGGCAUAUAUUUGCUAUCACCCCCAAAUUUAUUAAAGUUACUGAAAGUCACCGAAAUCCUACAACUCUGGCGCAAAAACGUUAAGAAGUAUGGCAACAUGCCACUCACUGUCGAAACAAAUACUCUUGAUGUGCUUAUAACUCUACUUAUUGACAAAUAUGCGCUUACAGUAAACAGUUUUUCAUAAUUGUAGCUGACAUCUCGCUGCCAAUAUUGCAUUAAUAUUACAUCAAUAUUACAUUUUACAACGCCAAACUUCAUCCAAGAGUUAUAAUUUCCCUUAAGAGGCCAUUGCGAAAUGCGUGUUCGGUAUGUUCUAUACACUCUGUAUAUGUCGCACUGAAGUGAGCAUCCCAAAACAGAAAAGGUGGUGGCUGCCGCCAGUGAUUUGGUCGCUUGAGUACAUCUGCAGUAGAAAAAUCAAAAGGAUUAUUAUUCUGUGAGCUUGUCAUUCUGGUUGGAUUAAACAAUUUUGUUGACAAAUAAAACAAAUGGUUGAUUUUGAAAAAAAGAGUGAAAUUUUUUAAAGUCGAAAUUCGGCUAUAAAAUGGAAAGUUCGCGAUAAAAAACAGAGAUACUAGUUCUUGCGAGAGCCAUUGAUGAGUACAAUAACAUAUUCAAAUUUCAGCUCAGUUGGAUCAAAAAUUUUGUUUCAUCCGGGUAGACCGUAAGAACGUUGUUUCGAGAAAAACGCGUUCUAAGUUUCAACAACAAAUUAAAUAUGUGUCAUAUAAUAAUAUUAUUAUUAUAGAUAAAUCAUACUACAUACGAAUCGUGUACCCCUAUAUUAAACGUAUAAUAAACCAUCAACUUCUUCAUAGG